CAUUUUAAGUCGUUUUCCCUCUCUUGCUCUCUUUUUCUCUCCUUCCCUCUUCUCUCUCUUUAAACCCUAAAAAUGUCUCUUCUUCUUCUCUUUCAGUUAGGGCACAAACGAAAACACACUGCUUCUAGGUAUUUCUCAGCACGCGUCGUAGUCACAACAACAUCCACCAUGAAUCCUAAUAGGUUAACUUUGAUGCAAAGACUGAGUAUGAUAAGAUCUAGAAUUACUAAGCCCUACAAGAGGUUUUCAACAAGCUGAUAAUAUGGCCAACAGGUGUGUGUUAUGGUAUGUUUUCUUGAAUCCUGUAGUUGUUGUUGUUCUGUUGUUGUUGUUGCUGCAGGAAAAGUACCCUUUAUUAACCAUAACAACAUCCAAAAAAACCUGGAAAUUGGUUUGGUGUUCGAUUUGAAUCUGAAGUAAAGAUCGAUUCGUGACUUCGGCAUAAUUAGGAGAGUCUGAGAGAGGGUGGUUCCGAACAUCAUUUCUUUUGUUAAGUUUUGUUUAAAUCACGGUAAGUUUCAUUUAGUUUGAUCUCAAACCUGACUUGAUCUACAUUUGUUAUGAAUUUGAAUUUACAUUAGUUUGAUCUCAAAGCUGUUUAAAUUCGAUAUGAUACUAAAGAUUUGGAUUUAUUUUUUCUUCUUUUAGGAUAAUGAAAAACAAGUCAGGGAAGAAUUUGAUAUGAUACGAAAUAUUCUCUUAGCUACUGCUUUUUAUUAAACAGCUAAAACAUUUGCUUAUCCUUAUUUACUUCAUAUAUUUUUCGAUUUUAGAGUUGUUUGUUUCCUCUUCUUAUUUCCAAGAGAGUCCAAUGCCAGAUCCAUCUGAAUUAUUUUCUAAUGUACAUGUUAAAGGAUACAUAGUUGAGUUAUAGAUUCCAUCCAUAUUCACUAUCCGUUGAUUAAAAUUAAACUAUAAGAAUAGGAAAUUUAUAGAUACGGAGUGAGAGUUAAGUUGUCAUAAAUAGGAAAUUUAAUAGUCCCCAAAUUGGUGAAAAUAAAGAAGAGUAAAAGAUUUUUCUACAGAACUAAUCUUUGAGCCCUUGGGUUGAGUUUCCCCGCGUAUAUAGUCAAUUUAUACUCUUGAGCGGCAAUGAGAGUUGAUUGAAUACUUUUUGACAUGUAUUUUUUGUUGGAGAGCAUAUGUAUGUAGAUUGACAAAAGCCUUCAUUUCUGGUGCAAAUGACUUCAUUUCUUCUUUCCUGACUUGAUCUACAUUUGUUAUUUGAUCACAAACCUGCCAAUUGUUUUAUAACUACAGCAUGUUUGGAUGGAACAUUGCCCAGUAACCACUUGGACCGCGGAUUUGAAUCUGGUGCAAAUAGUUGGCUUAUUCAUCUUGAGGUUGUGCUCUGUCAACACUUCAAACGGCUUUAUUAGUAGAGAAGUCCAGACAUAAGCCACAAGAGAGGAUGAUAAUUUUAUCAGAUAUAAGUUGAUUUUCCAAGUUUUGAUUGAUAUUGCUAUGUCAUCCAUAUGUCGCGGCUAAAGGGUUCUUUUUGUUGCAGGCACUUAAAACCAGUAACUAUGAUGCUGAACAUUUUGUAUGUUUAGAGUAAUGUACCAAUCAAGGAUGGUAAAGUGACAUUUUGUAUAUUUAGAGUCAUGUACCAACCAAGUUCAUCUUCUGACUUUUCUCUAGUAUUUAUGCUUCGAAAUCAUUUUUCAUAUAACCAAAUAUGAGUAUUCAUAGGAUCUUUCAAUUAUAUUGCUGAAUGACAUGUUUAUUGUUGACUGACAUGGUUCAAUUAUAUUUGGUUAUUUGGUCAUGUACAACACUUAAAUUGGUGCUUCAAUGGACUGUGUUAGUUGUGAAUACAUGUUGUAAGUUUGAAUUUUUGGCUUUAAUAAUGAUGAUUUCUCAAGUCAGUUAUAUUUUGAUUAAUAUGAGUUACUUUAGAUGUCAUAUUUUAAAAUUGGGAGCAUUUAGAUUAGAAUAAAAAUCUACAUGUGAUUUGAUUUCUUUAUUUUGAUGGAAUGUAGUAGUUGUGAAUGCAUGUUAUGACUGUAGCCUCUUAAUAUCUUACUCUUUAUGUUGAUGCAGCCAAAGUUUUCCUCUAGAACUAAAAGUUGACUCCAAACACUGAUGCACAAGUUUUGGUUCAAUGUUUGGAAAAGAAAUAAAUGAAAUUAGAAGACCUUUAUUUUUUCAGUCUAAAUUAAAACGCUGACCAAUUUAUUACUCUUAUAUGUAAUUCAUUGCACUCUUAUAUGUUAAACAAUAUAAUAUUUAUUAACCUUUAUUGAAAAUCAAUUAGCAAUUAUCUCAUUUAUUACCAUCAAUUUAUUUUUGUAGAAACAUGAGUCAUUUGAAAAACAUUCAAAUAUUUUUAUCCACAAAAGGCAAUAAGCUUUUUUGGACCUGUUAGUUUGUAAAUGGGUGCUAUUCACAAAAGGCAUUGAUCCAAUUAUCUCAUUUACUACUCUUAUAUAGAAUUAUGCAGGUGCUGGAUCUGUUAGUUUAGUUUGUAAAGGGGUGUUGUUCAGAUUAGACACAAAAGACAAUAUAUUUGUAAAACAAGAGUUGAGGCACCUGUUUGUACAAUUUAAACACAAAAGACAAUAAACUUUUUUUAUCUCGUGAUAAAUAAGGAUUAUUUAAAUAAUUAAGGAUAUUAAUUUAUCAAAUACAAAAGCUGAAUGAUUGAAUAA